rnacentral:rRNA from 1 species
UACGAAGGGGGCGAGCGUUGUUCGGAAUUACUGGGCGUAAAGGGCGCGUAGGCGGCGACUCAAGUUAGAUGUGAAAGUCCUGGGCUUAACUUGGGGACUGCAUUUGAUACUGGGUUGCUUGAAUUCGGGAGAGGAUAGCGGAAUUCCCAGUGUAGAGGUGAAAUUCGUAGAUAUUGGGAAGAACACCGGUGGCGAAGGCGGCUAUCUGGACCGACAUUGACGCUGAGGCGCGAAAGCGUGGGGAGCAAACAGG